ensembl:lncRNA
ACCUGGGCUCCAGGUGGGUUCCCACGCUGUACAUUUGUUGCCACCCUGACCCCGGGAGGGUCGAUGCCCUGAUGACACCGAGCCCACAGCCUCAUGCGGUCAGCAGGUUAGAUUAGAAGGACAACAGGCGCUCGCGUUAGGAGUUCUGGAUCAAAGGUCAGGCAUUUGGAUACCACUCAUUGGACAUGGCAGCCGUGUGCAGAUCCAGAACAAACCUCAGCAAAAAGGUUUUGGCUGCUCUGCAGUUGUGUGGGUGCACAAGGUGACACCCACUCCUCUGAAAACGCUUCCACGCUCCGACUUCGCCGCAGUGGAAAAACCUGCCGCCUUGUGAGGAAGCAGCAGCGUGACAGUCGACGGAGGACCAACACACCUCAGAGACACUUCCAGAGAGGGGACAUACGUGAGAGGAAAGAGAACAGAUGCCUGUGCGUCGUCCUCGUGUUUGAGCCUUCCAGCGAGGAGCGAGAGGUCUCCCGCCAAGCAGCAUCUGCACCUGGUUCCGGACCGAUGACGCCAGGGGUGGAGGAGAUUCCGGUCCGGAGCAAAGUCUGAUAUUUAGAGGCUGAUGGAAGUCAAUGCGCGUAGAGCGGCCAUGCAGACGUACGGAGAUUUGUUUAUGAGAUGUAUAAAGAACAGCAAGCUCAGGUUGAAGACAGAUAUGGUGUAAAUGUGCCCAUCAACCUACUAACACAUGAGCAUCGCUGCCCGCUAAGGUGCAAAAUGCAAUGAACAGUUUCAAUCAGCACACAUUUAUGUGAAAAUGUAACAGAUUAUUAGUUUAACAUAUUAACUGAGUGCCAGUUUAUUGUAGAAAUGGUGAGAGUGUUACAUUACAGGACAGACAUUAAAAAAACACAACAAAGAGCAGUUGUUUGGAGAAG